UGGGGAAUUUUGGACAAUGGGCGAAAGCCUGAUCCAGCAAUGCCGCGUGUGUGAAGAAGGCCUUCGGGUUGUAAAGCACUUUUGUCCGGAAAGAAAUCCUUGGCUCUAAUACAGUCGGGGGAUGACGGUACCGGAAGAAUAAGCACCGGCUAACUACGUG
rnacentral:rRNA from 1 species